rnacentral:misc_RNA from 1 species
UACUCUCACACUCUCUAAUUAGUUAGAGAGCAGUGGAUAUGGAUGCUGCCUGGUACUUACUGUUAGGCUCAUCUUAAAUGAAUUAGUGCGACUCUUAGUUAAACAUAGUGGCAUGAUAAGUAACCCUUGCUGUUUUCUGUCUGAUUAGGAGCUCUGUGCUUCAAACUUUCUCAGGACAAUAUUUGAUA